rnacentral:rRNA from 1 species
UACAGAGGGGGCAAGCGUUGUUCGGAAUUACUGGGCGUAAAGGGCGCGUAGGCGGCCUGCUAAGUCGAACGUGAAAUCCCCGGGCUCAACCCGGGAACUGCGUCCGAUACUGGCAGGCUUGAAUCCGGGAGAGGGAUGUGGAAUUCCAGGUGUAGCGGUGAAAUGCGUAGAUAUCUGGAGGAACACCGGUGGCGAAGGCGGCAUCCUGGACCGGCAUUGACGCUGAGGCGCGAAAGCCAGGGGAGCGAACGGG